rnacentral:rRNA from 1 species
CCUACGGGGGGCUGCAGUGGGGAAUAUUGGACAAUGGGGGGAACCCUGAUCCAGCCAUGCCGCGUGUGUGAAGAAGGCCCUCGGGUUGUAAAGCACUUUCAGUGAGGAAGAACGCCUGGUGGUUAAUACCCAUCAGGAAAGACAUCACUCACAGAAGAAGCACCGGCUAACUCCGUGCCAGCAGCCGCGGUAAUACGGAGGGUGCGAGCGUUAAUCGGAAUUACUGGGCGUAAAGCGCGCGUAGGUGGCUUGAUAAGCCGGUUGUGAAAGCCCCGGGCUCAACCUGGGAACGGCAUCCGGAACUGUCAAGCUAGAGUGCAGGAGAGGAAGGUAGAAUUCCCGGUGUAGCGGUGAAAUGCGUAGAGAUCGGGAGGAAUACCAGUGGCGAACGCGGCCUUCUGGACUGACACUGACACUGAGGUGCGAAAGCGUGGGUAGCAAACAGGAUUAGAUACCCGGGUAGUC